GUAGGUGACCUGCGGAGGAUCAUUA
rnacentral:rRNA from 12 species